AGUGAACGCUGGCGGCGUGCCUAACACAUGCAAGUCGAACGAUGAUUGAGAGCUUGCUCUCAUGAUUAGUGGCGCACGGGUGAGUAUACCAUAGAUAAUGUACCUCUUAGUUCGGGAUAGCCACUGGAAACGGUGAUUAAUACCGGAUACUCCUUCUUGUCUCAAGGCAAGUCGGGAAAGUUUUUUCGCUAAGAGAUCAGUCUAUGUCCUAUCAGCUAGUUGGUGAGGUAAUGGCUCACCAAGGCAAUGACGGGUAUCUGGUUUGAGAGGAUGAUCAGACACACUGGAACUGAGACACGGCCCAGACUCCUACGGGAGACAGCAGUGGGGAAUUUUGGACAAUGGGCGAAAGCCAGAUCCAGCAAUGCCGCGUGUGUGAAGAAGGCCUUCGGGUUGUAAAGCACUUUUGUCCGGAAAGAAAUGGCUCUGGUUAAUACCUGGGGUCGAUGACGGUACCGGAAGAAUAAGGACCGGCUAAC
rnacentral:rRNA from 1 species